GAGGAAGGUGGCCCACCAGCAGCAGCGGGUCUGUGCCCCAUAGCGUCCCCAUAGAGUCCCCAUAGCGUCCCCAUAGCAUCCCCAUGGCGUCCCUGUACUGUCCCCACAGUGUCCCCAUGGCAUCCUCAUGGCAUCCCCAUAGCAUCCCCAUGGUGUCCCCGUAGCAUCCCCAUAGUGUCCCUAUGGCGUCCCCAUGCUGUCCCCAUAGCAUCCCCAUGCCAUCCCCAUAGCAUCCCCAUAGCAUCCCCAUGCUGUCCCCAUAGUGUCCCCGUAGCAUCCCCGUGGUGUCCCCAUAGCAUCCCCAUGGUGUCCCCAUAGUGUCCCCAUACCAUCCCCAUGGUGUCCCCAUAGCAUCUCCAUGGCGUCCCCAUGGCGUCCCCAUGGCGUCCCUAUAGCAUCCCCAUGGCGUCCCUAUAGCAUCCCCAUGGCGUCCCCAUAGCAUCCCCAUAGUGUCCCCAUAGCAUCCCCGUGGUGUCCCUAUAGCAUCCCUGUGGUGUCCCUAUAGCAUCCCCAUAGUGUCCCCAUAGUGUCCCCGUAGCAUCCCCAUGGCAUCCCCAUGGCAUCCCUGUACUGUCCCCAUAGCGUCCCCAUACCAUCCCCAUGGUGUCCCCAUGCCGUCCCCAUAGCAUCCCCAUGGUGUCCCCAUAGCAUCCCCAUGGUGUCCCCAUAGCAUCCCCGUGGUGUCCCCAUAGCAUCCCCAUAGCAUCCCCAUAGCGUCCCCGUAGCAUCCCCAUGGCAUCCCCAUGGCGUCCCUGUACUGUCCCCAUACCAUCUCCAUGGCGUCCCCAUAGCAUCCCCAUAGUAUCCCCAUAGCAUCCCCAUAGUGUCCCCAUGCUGUCCCCAUAGCAUCCCCAUGGUGUCCCCGUAGCAUCCCCAUAGCAUCCCCAUGCUGUCCCCAUAGUGUCCCCGUAGCAUCCCCGUGGUGUCCCCAUAGCAUCCCCAUGGUGUCCCCAUAGAGUCCCCAUGGUGUCCCUAUAGCAUCCCCAUGGUGUCCCCAAACAUCCCCAUAGCAUCCCCAUAGCGUCCCCAUAGCAUCCCCAUGGUGUCCCCAUAGCAUCCCCAUGGUGUCCCCAUGGCGUCCCCAUGCCAUCCCCAUGCCAUCCCCAUGGCGUCCCCAUAGCAUCCCCAUGGUGUCCCCAUAGUGUCCCUGUAGCAUCCCCAUAGUGUCCCUGUAGCAUCCCCAUAGUGUCCCUGUAGCAUCCCCAUAGUGUCCCCAUAGCAUCCCCAUGGUGUCCCCAUACCAUCCCCAUGG
rnacentral:lncRNA from 1 species